rnacentral:rRNA from 1 species
AACGAACGCUGGCGGCAGGCUUAACACAUGCAAGUCGAACGCAUCGCAAGAUGAGUGGCAGACGGGUGAGUAACGCGUGGGAACAUACCCUUUUCUACGGAAUAGCUCUGGGAAACUGGAAUUAAUACCGUAUACGCCAUACGGGGGAAAGAUUUAUCGGGGAAGGAUUGGCCCGCGUUGGAUUAGCUAGUUGGUGGGGUAAAGGCCUACCAAGGCGACGAUCCAUAGCUGGUCUGAGAGGAUGAUCAGCCACAUUGGGACUGAGACACGGCCCAAACUCCUACGGGAGGCAGCAGUGAGGAAUAUUGGACAAUGGGCGCAAGCCUGAUCCAGCCAUGCCGCGUGAGUGAUGAAGGCCUUAGGGUUGUAAAGCUCUUUCACCGAUGAAGAUAAUGACGGUAGUCGGAGAAGAAGCCCCGGCUAACUUCGUGCCAGCCGCCGCCGUAAAAC